rnacentral:rRNA from 1 species
GAUGAACGCUGGCGGCGUACCUAAUACAUGCAAGUCGAGCGAACAGACGAGGAGCUUGCUCCUCUGACGUUAGCGGCGGACGGGUGAGUAACACGUGGAUAACCUACCUAUAAGACUGGGAUAACUUCGGGAAACCGGAGCUAAUACCGGAUAAUAUAUUGAACCGCAUGGUUCAAUAGUGAAAGACGGUUUUGCUGUCACUUAUAGAUGGAUCCGCGCCGCAUUAGCUAGUUGGUAAGGUAACGGCUUACCAAGGCGACGAUGCGUAGCCGACCUGAGAGGGUGAUCGGCCACACUGGAACUGAGACACGGUCCAGACUCCUACGGGAGGCAGCAGUAGGGAAUCUUCCGCAAUGGGCGAAAGCCUGACGGAGCAACGCCGCGUGAGUGAUGAGGGUCUUCGGAUCGUAAAACUCUGUUAUUAGGGAAGAACAAAUGUGUAAGUAACUAUGCACGUCUUGACGGUACCUAAUCAGAAAGCCACGGCUAACUACGUG